rnacentral:lncRNA from 1 species
ACGAGUCCUUGGAAGAGCAGGAGCCUGAAACGGGCCAGGAAGGCUUCGAAGAGGUUCUGCUACCAGACGACUUUGGAGACGAGAGCCCGCAGUUCCACAUACUGGGCGGUAGCUCUGUCGCGAGCACCCGCGCAUCCUCGCCCGAAGUUGGUCAAGCUCAGCCCGAAAGUUCUAAGCGACGACGUGACCCCGAGCCCUCGUCCACACCGCUGCUCUUGUGCUCGUCGGAAAAUUCCAGGCGCCCAAGGGAGCCUGAGCCCAGUACGACCCCGUACGACUUGUGGGCGCAAAGUCAGUCCCUCGCUAAAAUAGCACGCGCCGUUGAGCAGACAAUCGAUGUGGAUGACGCUGCGGGACAUUUCGGAAAGACAGUUGCUGCCCUGCUACGACCGCUGGACGGCAAAAGACUCGUCAGGUGUCAAGCGGAAAUACUAGGUGUGAUUGAAAAACAUCUCGCUGAAUGAGGGAAGCCUGCCACGUGUUUCCUUUUUAAUUGACCUGCUACCCCGUAUACUGCGCCUUGUAAACAUGUCAUUUUCUUCGCUCGAGGAUAAUUAAAGGAAAACCACACAAACUGGGCCAAACCAGAAACA